AAGGGGUUAGUCUAAUACAAGACCUCUGAUUUCGGCUCAGGAAAUCGUGGUUUAACUCCACGGCCCCAUU
rnacentral:tRNA from 1 species